AGUGAACGCUGGCGGCAGGCUUAACACAUGCAAGUCGAACGGCAGGGCCCUAAUAUUUUGGUCUUAUGGGUUGCGAAUGGGGUGCGGGACAGGUAUAUAUCGUAAUCUUCUUUUUCGUGUGGGUUCACGUAGGUAAAGUUACUCUCAUAUCGCAUACGAUGUUGCGGGGAAAGCGUUGGAUCGUCUCGGCUUUUGGGGAUGGACUAGCCGAUUUUGGGUUUGCUAGUUGGGGGGUUAAUUGCCCACCAAGGCGCCGAUUCGUAGCUGGUGUGAGAGGAUGAUCAGCCACACUGGAACUGAGACACGGUCCAGGCUACUACGGGAGGCAGCAGUGGGGAAUAUUGGACAAUGGGCGCAAGCCUGAUCCAGCCAUACCGCGUGGGUGAAGAAGGCCUUCGGGUUGUAAAGCCCUUUUGUUGGGAAAGAAAAGCAGCAGGUUAAUACCCCGCUGUUCUGACGGUACCCAAAGAAUAAGCACCGGCUAACUUCGUG
rnacentral:rRNA from 1 species